rnacentral:lncRNA from 1 species
UUUUUUCAGCAGAUGGUUAAAGACUCUCAUAACCACAAAUUUUUAAGUAAACCGGGCAAAGACAUGAUUCCAUCCUUACAAAGUUUACCAUUUUUGUGUCACUGGUCUCUUUAAGAUACCUAGUUUGAGGGCUUUUUGGUGGAUUAACAAUCAUAGGGAUUAGCCUAAAAUAUUUGCAAAAUUCAUUUAUGACUUUUCAAUUCUUACCCUGGAGAAUUAAAAUAAAACUAUAAAGUAGCACACCUCUCAGAGAAAGCAUAAGAUCAAAAGAAACUUGAUCUCCACCAGAGGAUGCUAACGUGUAGAAAGCAAAUUUUUUCCUCUGUCCAAGAAGCAAUUGAACUGCUACUGAAAGAAAAAUGCCAUAGAGUUGCAAAGAAUUUACCAAAUGUGGUCAGAUAUAAAUGUUAAGUUUCCUCUUUCACUCCCUAUCCAUUUCAACUGUACCUAUUGACCAAUAGCCAUUAUUAAAAAAAGAAAAAACCCAACCAAACCAAAAAAAAAUGCAUAGUGCAAGGCUCAUGUUCAACUGUUUAGAUUUGGGGUUCUGAUAGGAGACAUUUUUAUGAACACACACACAAGAUAAAAAUCAACAAAAGUGGCCUUGGAAAAAAAAAUACGCAGGGACGGGAAUGAGAUUAAGCCACCCAAACAUUACAGCAAGUGUUUAACAAAGGAGAGAGCACAAUGGCCAUUCCUUACUUUCUAAAGAUCUUAUGGCAUCUCUUU